GUAGGUCGUCACGCAGCGGAUUGAGUUGGAGUUUGGCGUUUCUGGAUACGCACUUCUGGAAGUAGUGGAUCUGGCACAGUAUGCAUUGUCUUCAAGCUGCGUAGGAAUAAUGAUGUCAUCCAAGUUUAGGAAAUCUGAUCUUUGCCUGGACGGGUCACAAGUCUUAAACUAUGUUUUAUUUCAUGUCUUUGGGUGUGUCGUUGAACAAGAUUUUAAUUAUGUCAUGUUGUAUCAUGUUUUAAGUGUCGACUUUUAAACAAUGUUGUCAUGUUUACUUUUUAAACUUGAAUCAAUGGAUGAACAUCA